GAUAAGGUGGCUGAAGUUUUAGGUUAUAAAUUGUAAAUUUAUAUAUGGGUUAAUAACCCUCUUAUCA
rnacentral:tRNA from 1 species